rnacentral:lncRNA from 1 species
GGGACGUCCUUGGUGAUGUUCAUAACCGACACCUUAAUCAUCUCGUAUGUAUCUUCUUGAAUCUGCAUCAUAAAUCCAGCCUUUCUUUUCUUUUGUUCAGACAUUGAGUCUUUCAUGGUGUUGCAGAUGCGGGCCGAGGCCAUCUCGCUGGCCCUCGGCAGCUCUUGUUUUUUUCACUGUCUCACCCGUCCUCGAUGCUUUGGUCGCCAUCAUCCUCUUUCACAAAGUGUCUGUUAGCACGUGUUACAGUCGGCUGUUAGUUUGUAGCCCGUUUCUCUUCUCUUUUCUCUUGUUUCUUUUCCAACUUAUCACACCCCGCCAACGUCAUCCUAUUGUACUUGCUCUAAGUAGUACUGAUGGGACUAUAAGGAGCAUGUUGUCUCUUCGUAACAACAAUAAUAUUCAAGAGUGUGGUACAUUAUCCAUUUAAUUUUGAGUUUUCUAAGAAAAUGUUGUUUUAAUUGAGGAAUAAUAAGCAUACAUAUGGUGUUUCCUGCACUUGGUUUUCUAUCUUGAGUUGGAAAAUAAGAUGUUGAGUGUGAGCAUUGUGCCAUACUUUAUAUAUAAUUUCCCGCCUAUUGAUUCAUAAUGAUGUGGUCCCUGAAUUUCUAUCAUGUCACAUGAUAGGUGAUGUACGAUGCUUUUCUUCUAUCAGUGUCGGGAAGCAAACAUGAAGUAUCUAACAAUUGCUUGCACGAGUAUGAUU